CAGCAGCCACGGUAAUACGAAGGGUGCAAGCGUUACUCGGAAUUACUGGGCGUAAAGCGUGCGUAGGUGGUGGUUUAAGUCCGUUGUGAAAGCCCUGGGCUCAACCUGGGAAUUGCAGUGGAUACUGGGUCACUAGAGUGUGGUAGAGGAUAGUGGAAUUUCCGGUGUAGCAGUGAAAUGCGUAGAGAUCGGAAGGAACAUCUGUGGCGAAGGCGACUAUCUGGGCCAACACUGACACUGAGGCACGAAAGCGUGGGGAGCAAACAGGAUUAGAUACCCGUGUAGUCCCUGUCUCUUAUAA
rnacentral:rRNA from 1 species